rnacentral:rRNA from 1 species
AACGAACGCUGGCGGCAGGCCUAACACAUGCAAGUCGAGCGAGGACUUCGGUUCUAGCGGCGGACGGGUGAGUAACGCGUGGGAAUGUGCCCUUCUCUACGGAAUAGCCCUGGGAAACUGGGAGUAAUACCGUAUACGCCCUAUCGGGGAAAGAUUUAUCGGAGAAGGAUCAGCCCGCGUUGGAUUAGGUAGUUGGUGGGGUAAUGGCCUACCAAGCCGACGAUCCAUAGCUGGUUUGAGAGGAUGAUCAGCCACACUGGGACUGGGACACGGCCCAGACUCCUACGGGAGGCAGCAGUGGGGAAUCUUAGACAAUGGGGGCAACCCUGAUCUAGCCAUGCCGCGUGAGUGAUGAAGGCCUUAGGGUUGUAAAGCUCUUUCAGCUGGGAAGAUAAUGACGGUACCAGCAGAAGAAGCCCCGGCUAACUCCGUG